GGGAGCUUGCUCCGCUGACGAGUGGCGAACGGGUGAGUAAUGCAUCGGAACGUACCCAGUCGUGGGGGAUAACGUAGCGAAAGUUACGCUAAUACCGCAUACGUCCUGAGGGAGAAAGCGGGGGACCGAAAGGCCUCGCGCGAUUGGAGCGGCCGAUGUCGGAUUAGCUAGUUGGUGGGGUAAAGGCCUACCAAGGCGACGAUCCGUAGCGGGUCUGAGAGGAUGAUCCGCCACACUGGGACUGAGACACGGCCCAGACUCCUACGGGAGGCAGCAGUGGGGAAUUUUGGACAAUGGGGGCAACCCUGAUCCAGCCAUGCCGCGUGAGUGAAGAAGGCCUUCGGGUUGUAAAGCUCUUUCAGACGGAAAGAAAACGCAUCGGUGAAUACCCGAUGUGGAUGACGGUACCGUAAGAAGAAGCACCGGCUAACUACGUGCCAGCAGCCGCGGUAAUACGUAGGGUGCGAGCGUUAAUCGGAAUUACUGGGCGUAAAGCGUGCGCAAGCGGUUAUGUAAGACAGAUGUGAAAUCCCCGGGCUC
rnacentral:rRNA from 1 species